rnacentral:rRNA from 1 species
AUUGAACGCUGGCGGCAGGCUUAACACAUGCAAGUCGAACGAGUGGCGGACGGGUGAGUAAUGCUUGGGAAUCUAGCUUAUGGAGGGGGAUAACUACGGGAAACUGUAGCUAAUACCGCGUACCAUAGGAUGAGCCCAAGUGGGAUUAGGUAGUUGGUGAGGUAAAGGCUCACCAAGCCGACGAUCUCUAGCUGGUCUGGGAGGAUGACCGGCCCAACUGGGACUGAGACACGGCCCGAACUCCUACCGUGGGACGACGUGGGGAAUAUUGCGCAAUGGGGGCAACCUGACGCAGCCAUGCCGCGUGAAUGAAGAAGGCCUUCGGGUUGUAAAGUUCUUUCGGUAGCGAGGCGUUAACUACAGAAGAAGCACCGGCUAACUCCGUGCCAGCAGCCGCGGUAAUU